rnacentral:rRNA from 1 species
GGGCGCAGCCUGAUGCAGCAACGCCGCGUGAGGGAUGACGGCCUUCGGGUUGUAAACCUCUUUUAGUAGGGAAGAAGCGAAAGUGACGGUACCUGCAGAAAAGGCACCGGCUAACUACGUGCCAGCAGCCGCGGUAAUA